rnacentral:rRNA from 1 species
UGAGCUUGCUCUUGUGGAUCAGUGGCGAACGGGUGAGUAACACGUGAGCAACCUGCCCCGGACUCUGGGAUAAGCGCUGGAAACGGCGUCUAAUACUGGAUAUGAGACGUGACCGCAUGGUCAACGUUUGGAAAGAUUUUUCGGUCUGGGAUGGGCUCGCGGCCUAUCAGCUUGUUGGUGAGGUAAUGGCUCACCAAGGCGUCGACGGGUAGCCGGCCUGAGAGGGUGACCGGCCACACUGGGACUGAGACACGGCCCAGACUCCUACGGGAGGCAGCAGUGGGGAAUAUUGCACAAUGGGCGAAAGCCUGAUGCAGCAACGCCGCGUGAGGGAUGACGGCCUUCGGGUUGUAACACUCU